UACGUAGGGUGCAAGCGUUAAUCGGAAUUACUGGGCGUAAAGCGUGCGCAGGCGGUUUUAUAAGUUUGUCGUGAAAGCCCCGGGCUCAACCUGGGAAUGGCGAUGAAGACUGUAAGGCUAGAGUGUGUCAGAGGGGGGGUAGAAUUCCACGUGUAGCAGUGAAAUGCGUAGAUAUGUGGAGGAACACCGAUGGCGAAGGCAGCCCCCCUGGGAUAACACUGACGCUCAUGCACGAAAGCGUGGGGAGCAAACAGG
rnacentral:rRNA from 1 species